rnacentral:rRNA from 1 species
UACGGAGGGAGCUAGCGUUAUUCGGAAUCACUGGGCUUAAAGCGCGUGUAGGCGGGUCGGUGCGUCGGCCGCUGAAAUCCCCCGGCUCAACCGGGGAAGGGGCGCCGAUACGACCGGCCUGGAGCGACGUAGGGGGAACUGGAACUUCCGGUGGAGCGGUGAAAUGCGUUGAGAUCGGAAGGAACGCCCGUGGCGAAAGCGAGUUCCUGGACGUCGGCUGACGCUGAGACGCGAAAGCCAGGGGAGCGAACGGG